CCUGAGUUCCCUGUAGUGAGCUUGCUUCUCUCCACCCACUUCUCACCAAAGCACUCCUUAACUUGAGGGUGGACGAUUUAAAGCUAGAUCCCAGCGCCUCACCUGCAGAGUGGUCUGUGUAUUCAUUGAACUAAAAGGCCUGAUCACCUACGUGAGGCGGUGGGAACCAUAUGGAAAUUAUAUCAGAACUUCAGCAAAGGGCACAGCCACAGCCCGCAGAAGCCAGCGUUCAGACUGACAGGCAAAUGAACCAGCUUGUGGACGGGGCCUCUGGGUGUCAGCUCUGGCCGUUUGGUUGUUGGACAGCUAUGGUCAGAACUGAAAUGGAACACGAGACAGGAGAAAAACACACUUUUACUCUGCGCAACUGUUGCUUUCACAUGAUCUUUGAGAAUGUUACUGGGAUAAUUGUCCAAAUCAAAGUCCAUGCGUUCAUCCAUGGUACUGAUUGUUAAGGUUCCAUUAAGAAAGGAUAACUCCCAAAUAAUGUGUCGCUGUGGAGUCUUUGCCUGUUGCCGUCUAAACCACGAUAGAAUAAGAAUAAUCUGAAAUAAGAAAUUUAAGGACUUUUUUUCCUUCACCACACCAGUAUAGGGGUGAUCGUCCCCCUGAGCAGUAAAAACUAUGGAGAGAUUCUUCAAAACCCACUGGGACAAACAACAGAUGAAUUAAUAAACCUCUUCUUCUCUGUGAGCAGCAGCCGGUUAACAGUUACCUCUAAUGGUCACUCAGAAAGCAUUUAAUGAAAAAGUGCUCCAUAAAGGGGAACACUUAAAGUGGAUAUGAGAAGAUAAGAAAAUGAGCAUAGGAGGAAACCAUCUCAGGUAAAAAAGAAAAGAAAAGAAAAAGAAAGCCCAAGUGUAAAGUGUAAUUAUUCAGCAAUAUUUUAAAGAGAAAAUUAUUCUAUGCUUGGUUCUAAGGUAUUUUCCUUCCUUUUGUGGAGCUAGCUAUUUUUGUUGAUGGUUUUCCUUCAAGACUUUGUAGUAUGGCUUGCCUUUGUAAACCUUUUUGUUUGGUUUUGUGAUCAAUGCCCAGUUGCCAUCACUCUGAGGGCAUGUGUGUAUACUGAUUCUUACAACACAAAUACAAGAUGGUUAAAAAGGAAGCUAUUUAAUGAAAAGGAAAAUAUGUUUUCGGUGUUUAUAACGUACAGAAGGAAGUAGAAUCUGGGAGGAAGGUAUAAACUCAUGGUUUGCGUCUUAAUCUUUUUUCAUAUAUCUAGUAAGACAAUAAAGUCAAAGCAAAUUGUGAAGGAAUAAAAACUACAAUCAGUGCUUCCUCUCUUUUCAUGUGAAAUCUUUGCUGUAUGGUGAAAUACUUUCACUAUGAUUGUAUGAUUGUUGAUUAUUUACUAUAGUUUUAAUAAGCAGGAGAAGGAUUUGAAACUAAAUAAUGGUGAAAAUUUGUGUCUACCAAAUUAUCUGUAUAAAACUCUAUAAAAUACGUUAUAUUUUUAUUUAUUUCAAACACGCCAAAUCAGGAAGUAAUUACUAUGCAGUAUUAUUUUUCACAAUGAAGAUGUAAUUAAGAAAAGCUUAAUCAUUUUUGUAUGAGUGAAAUGAUUAAUGAUUAUAUAGCUUAUAAUUUUGUUGCAGAUGAGUUUAGAAUCCUAAAAAAGUACAUGUAACUGGUUUUAUAUGUGCUCACUCGCUUGUUCCCGUACAGUCUGAUAGCUCACAAAAUUAGAGACUAAUUUAUUUCAUUUCAACCUGUUGAACACAAGAGUUAUAGGCAAGUGCAUAUUUUGUUUAUGGGAUACAAUUUUGGGGAAAAAUAAAUUUAAAUGUAUUUUGUUGAAAGAGACUAUAUGCUCUUUGAUGUGGUACGAAUGAAUACACACAGUACAGAAUAG